rnacentral:rRNA from 1 species
GAUGAACGCUGGCGGCGUGCCUAAUACAUGCAAGUCGAGCGAACAGACGAGGAGCUUGCUCCUCUGACGUUAGCGGCGGACGGGUGAGUAACACGUGGAUAACCUACCUAUAAGACUGGGAUAACUUCGGGAAACCGUAGCUAAUACCGGAUAACAUGUUGAACCGCAGGGUUCAACAGUGAAAGACGGUCUUGCUGUCACUUAUAGAUGGAUCCGCGCCGCAUUAGCUAGUUGGUAAGGUAACGGCUUACCAAGGCAACGAUGCGUAGCCGACCUGAGAGGGGGAUCGGCCACACUGGAACUGAGACACGGUCCAGACUCCUACGGGAGGCAGCAGUAGGGAAUCUUCCGCGAUGGGCGAAAGCCUGACGGAGCAACGCCGCGUGAGUGAAGAAGGUCUUCGGAUCGUAAAACGCUGUUAUUAGGGAAGACCAAAUGUGUAAGUAACUAUGCACGUCUUGACGGUACCUAAUCAGAAAGCCACGGCUAACUACGUG